GGCCGCAUGGCGCAACGGUAGCGCGUCAGAUUCCAGUGUGGUCCUCGGACUACAGCAGGAGCUUCCUGAAGGUUAAGCGUUCAAAUCGCUUUGUGGUCA